UACGGAGGGUGCGAGCGUUGUCCGGAAUCAUUGGGCGUAAAGGGCGCGUAGGUGGCCCGGUCAGUUCGUGGUGAAAGCGCGGGGCUCAACCCUGCGUCGGCCAUGAAUACUGCCGCGGCUGGAGCACUGUAGAGGCAGGCGGAAUUCCGGGUGUAGCGGUGGAAUGCGUAGAGAUCCGGAGGAACACCGGUGGCGAAGGCGGCCUGCUGGGCAGUUGCUGACACUGAGGCGCGACAGCGUGGGGAGCAAACAGG
rnacentral:rRNA from 1 species